ensembl:lncRNA
AUUCUCUGAGACUCCAGUUACAGAUCCCUCAGAAGAGCAGCGUGACCUCCACGAAGGCUCAGCCUUGGAACUCUUUGAGGAGGGUAAUCUCAAGAUGAAUGUUUUCCCCGUUUAAAACAGAUUUUAACUAAAAAUAGCAGCAAGCGCCUCUACUUAUCCAAGAGUUAGAGACUGUAAAGAGCAGACACUGCGCUGCUAAGGAACGGUCGCCACACGGCCCGCAGGGUUGCUGUGGAAGGUGGGGACCACGGAGGCAGCAUCUGUGGCUUGUGCAGCCUGUCACCUUUUAACAAUAAAAGGCGCAAUUUGUUUGACUCUUUGGAAACAACAAACAGAAGUUUAGUACUUUCAGAUACUGGAGUCACCGUGAAUCUGAUGAGUAUACAAAAUUUGAUAAAAAGAAGAGAUGGCUCCCCGAAGCAUUUGACAAUACAAAACACGAUUGAAGAAACUAGAUGUGUUUGUUCUGAGAAACUGGAACUCUCAGCGACUGCACGCUCCUCAGUCAGUCUGACCUGUUCAUAGAUGCUGACAUGCUGUAACUCCUAGGUCAGACACAGAGGACAUGCUAGAGCGCUAUCUUCCUGUCUCUUGCCAACUUCCAUGGGACAACUCCGGGUUGGUUGUAGCUAAGCAUGUACACACAGUGGGUUGCUUAAUGGGAGAGGAAUCUUGAAGUUGGGAAAUGCCAGUCUUCUGUAAUGGGCUACAAGCAAAACUGUUCAGUUGUUUUCCUAGGAGGAGAAGAUAGCAUCUCAACACAGACCUCUUCACAAAGAGAAGCACCUUGCCCUUUGCUGGAAAUCACUCAGAAACAUGAGAGGCCCGUGGAGAAUGGCUUUCAGUAGUAACUACAUCCUCAGAGCAGUCACGUGGAAGCCUAGUAGGAAUCGCUGUCAUUCCAGAUGCAAAACAAGAUCUAGUGAUGAAAAGUGCAGGACAGGACGUGCCGGCUGAUAAGGAUGUGCUUUCUACGGAGCAGAGCACGAGAGAAUGUAAUGGAUGCCUUGUGAAGUUAAGUGAGGUCAGGAUGAAGCCUGCCUGCCCUUUGUCACUGGCGAACGAUGCAUGUAACAGAGAAACGGAAUACUUCUACAGGCCUCUUCCCACACUCGAAUUAGCAGAGUGCAGUGGUACCCUCCAUGUUGAAGACCCCAGAUAGUCCUGAAUCCCCCAGAUACUCAAGUGUUUCCUCUGCUUCUAUCCUUAUGAUAAGGCUCCCAUUAAAGGCUCAACAAUGACAGAAUAACUAUAAUGGCAACGUGUGACUUUUUAAAAAUGAUGGGAAUGUUAUCUCUCAGUUUAUUCCUGGAAUUUUCCAUCUAAUAUUUUCAGACCAUCGUUGAUUCCUAGCCGCUCAACUGCUGAGAGCAAACUUCAGCUGAGAUGGCAGGGGAGGGAGAACUGUAGCCAAGAAGAAAGGCAGAACAGAAAAGGAUACAUUCUGCUUUCAAACGCCAGCUACUUCUCAGAGGGUAAGUCUUCAGAGUCUCUGGGUCCCCAGAGCACACAGGCUUUCCUUUGAUGACCCAAGGACAGGGCAGUAUCCAGUCUCUGUGAACACUGUUGGAGGCUCCCUUGUUUGCCAUGCCCCUUCAGCUAAGAAAAACAGCUCAGAAGCCUGGUUGGAUUAAAGGAGGCUUGAAGCCUUUCUCUAGAUUGAUGCGUCUGUGUUUCAAGAACAGAUCUCUGCUAAAGGAUCUCUUGCAAUUUAACCGGAAACAAUUCUGACAUAUAAGCCGAAAAUUCAUGAUAUUUAAAAAUAAUACAUCAGCAAAGGGACUUCUUUUUCCAAAACAAGUGUUUCCGUGCUGCGGAAAGAGACUAAAAUUGUAACCUCUGGGUCAGUCAGCAAAUGGAUAUUUCCAGGCACGGAUUUAUUAGCUGGUCCCUUUGUUCUGCUUAUCCUGGAUGACACACAGACAAAAUGAUGUGAUACUAAGUAGCGAAGAUUGACAGAAUCAGAUGUAUGAGCAAAAGGGAAGGAAAAGAACCCAGAGGUAAGGAAGCAUUUUAUACCCUAUGUGUUUUAUAAGCCUAUGUCCUGCCAUAGGACCCUUUCCUCUGACUCAUUAUGUGUGAAAUGGGACACCCAGCAUGGGCAACAACUGUCUUUCUCUGUGGUUCUGGAAUCCGCCAAGAACCCAUGAAGUUUUGCUUCCUUCAAAGCGGGAAUAAGCUGGGCAUCCUGGGGCCAAUGAAAGGACUUGGGAGAGAAGAGGUAUCUCCCUAGAAAAUGCUUUAAAUGAAAGUCCUCUUUCUCUAAGCAGUGCAUUCGCAGGACUAUCAGUCUGGAUAUUAUAAAACAGGAUCUUAGACGACUUUGUGAGCCUUUAGGAUGUAGCAUUGAAUCAGGAAGCUGGAACACAUUUCUCCACUACAAUAAAGCCAGCAGAGUACUCUAAUGCUAAUGUAAACGUGCAAACAACAAUAAAAGGCUCCUUGAAAAGGACCCCAGACUGGUUGGGUCCUGACUCUUCCAGGCAAAGCCAACUGUAGGAGAGGAAGGUCUCCUGUCUACAGAGUGAACAUUUGCCCGGAAAUUGCAUUUCUCCUUUCUCAGAAACAAGAUGUUUGGACAAAGCUUCAGGGAUUUUUUUUUUCAGGCAAAUAAUCCCUUCAGGUACAGGCCAGUUUGACCUUGGAUUGUGUGUGCCCAGUACUUUGAGCACCAUUUCUGGAAACCUCAUUAUAAAUCAAUAAACAGGACAUCCAUCCACCUCAGUGCUUCUCUUUACCCAGUGCUUUGGGGCUUAAAAUUCUUCUCAAAAGCAUUCAGGUUUCUCUAUGUUUCACAAGCCAAUUCCGAACAUUGACAUCUUGAAACUACAAGGCUUGGGUUUUAAUUUCUUGUUGGUAAAUUUUUUUUUCAACAUAGCAAAUGCAUCAAUGUACCUUAUAGCCUGAAAACAUUUGCAUAUCACACUCUGCAGUGAGGACAAUAAAAAGGGAACUUGAAUAGGUUUUUUCUACAUAAGUAUAAGUAUCUAUAGGAUCUGGUUUCUGCCUCCUGAAAUUGCAUAUCUUAUGUCCACUUUAACCCUCGAAAAUAGAAUUGCUCCUGCUUAUGAAUCCAACAGCAGGAGUUGAGUUCAUCUCGUCCAUACCUCAAGUUAAACAUGUUUUGUGCCUAUUUAUACUUUAAGAGGAUUCUUGCAGGAAGAGAUGUUGAUGUAAAAACUUAGGGUGUAUUGAAGGACAUAAACCACGGACUUGUAAUUUAGAGCUCAGACUACAAAUGACAUCACCAUGUUUUUCUGAAUCAAAAAGCAGUUCUAGAGUGAGUGACCUUGGGAAAGAUAUUUUUUCCCAUCCGGAGAUGCAGAUCUACAUGAUAAAGGUCAACUGAACUCAUUAUAAAUAUCUUGUUAGAUAGGCGGUGCUACUCUGCAACUCCUGCAAUGAGAAAGGCAGAAGAGGGAGGGCUUACCUGACAUUUUGAAAAUGUGCUUCUCACCCCAAGGAGCCAAGAGUAAUUAUGAGUGAGCGUGUCUCAGAGGGGAUCGAUUUACUCUGAGGAGCCCAAAGCUUUUUAUCACUUGUUAUGGUAUUCUUGCUCUGGACAGAGGAUGGGGGUGGGGAGGGACACAGUGAAG